UACGGGGGGAGCAAACGUUGUUCGGAAUCACUGGGCGUAAAGGGCGCGUAGGCGGCACCGCAAGUCGACUGUGAAAUCUCCGGGCUUAACCCGGAAAGGUCAGCCGAUACUGCGGGGCUAGAGUGCAGAAGGGGCAACUGGAAUUCUCGGUGUAGCGGUGAAAUGCGUAGAUAUCGAGAGGAACACCUGCGGCGAAGGCGGGUUGCUGGGCUGACACUGACGCUGAUGCGCGAAAGCUAGGGGAGCGAACGGG
rnacentral:rRNA from 1 species